CCUAGGAGGCCCAAAUUAUCCUAGCCGCACAUUUCUCAAUCCAAUGACUAAAAAACUAAUAGCACUAAUAGCUUGGUGCUAUUAAUAGUAUUAUUACAGCCUAGUUAUAUAUAUAUAUAUAUAUAUAUAUAUAUAUAUAUAGAGCAGGGCUGCUGUGCUCUCAGGAGCACAGAGGCCUCUGUGCUCCUGAGCCGUUUUCGAUGAUGGAGUUUCCGAAUCGACGAUCAGCUCCGUUAAACUUGAUCUAGCGUAUUUAAAGUUUCUAGAAAAUAAUUUUUGCGAUUUUUCGAUAUCAUUUACCUAGUAAUCGAAAGGAUUCAAAAUCGAUAAUUUUUAAUGGUUGAAAAUAAAAAUCCUAUAAAAAGUGGUGAUAUAGCACUAAAAUUUUCGAUCAGAAAUAUUGAUCUUGUUGUAGAUAGUAUAAAGAAUUUUGUAUCAAAAUUUCAUCUGAUUUGAAUACUUUUACACCGUUAAACUUGAAAACGGCAGAUAUCAACCAUUAAA
rnacentral:lncRNA from 1 species